rnacentral:lncRNA from 13 species
CUCUGAUGAGACAUUUUGAAACAACUUCCUUCCUUUUCUAUUUCUAUUUCUCUUUCUCUUACUUUUCUUAUUUUUUCUCUUCUGUUCUGUUCUGUUCUGUUCUCUCUCUGUGUUAGCAGUGUGCUGUGAUAUAUAUUUUUUGCUGACUGAUAACUCUCUCUCUCUCUUUCCCCCUCUCGUCUGUAGGUGAUUCAAUUGCUAUUGGAGGAGCACAGCCAUUCCAUGAUGCAGAAAUACACUGACUGCCUACCGACCUUUUGUUAACACCAAACAAUCCACACUUCAAUGGGGCCUUUAAUGUUUUACUGAGGAUGAGAACACAGAGUGGGGGGAGGAAGAGGAGGGAUGGAGCAGGUGACUGAAGAGCCAUCAUGUGAAGAGGGGCAGCUACAGCUCUUUGAGAGUGACUCUGGGGAGGAGGAGUCUUCCUACAGACACAUAGGUGUUGUGAAGUUAGACUGGGUUGGACAGACUGGGUCCCACUCAGACAGACAGAUAUCUGAGCUGUCUGGUCUCAGCUCUGUGGUUCUGCUCACACAGCCAAACUCACACAACCACUCUGGUAUAGUUGUCCAGAUGCUCAGCUCACCUGUCUGUCACCUGACGUCCCUAUAGAGCCCCACCCACUCUCAUGAGACUAGAUGCACUCUUCACCCACCUGGCUAAGAUCUAACGAUGGGCUCUUCCCUGUUUACAUGAGGUGCGCUCAGUUCACUUGAACAUUUGCUACAUUGCGGAACGGUUUGUACUGAAAAAAACGUUUCCCCAAAACAUUCUUAUACGUUCUUGAACAGACUUCUAGGUACGUUUCCUCCCGUUUGGGCGGGUGUGGCUUGAAGCAAUGAGUGACGUAUUUAAAGGGCAGUGGCCAUGCUGACAGCAGUCAUUCAGUACAGCACUGUUUCUGUUCAAUGGAAUGUUCCAGAACGUAAAAAUGUACUGAACCCAGUCCUGGCUUGCUCCCCCGUUCUCACCAACCUGCUUCUAAUUGGUUCACUCUCCUGUCUCCGCCUGCUUUGCUUACCUGAGCUUUUCACCUGAUUAGUUCCUUUGUAUCAACAGUCCUUUCUCUGAUUGGUUCACCUGACUGGCUCCUCCCUGUUUACCUGAUUGGCCCCACCCUGCUGACCCCCGGCUGGCUGUGAUUGGCUCCCUUGCCUGGCAGGCUCCACCCUACUGACAGUCAAACACAGCAGCUUCGCAGUGCUUCUUUUACUAUGUUGUGUUUUGUUGUUUUCUCUUUGUCAGAGAUAGCCUGCUCUCUUUCCACAUAUUUAAUGAAGUGCCGUACAGUUACAGCUUUAGUUCACAUUUACAUAUGCGUUAACAGCUAACCUACUUCAGAGGAAGUUCCUUUGCUGUGUCUCUAAAAGUGAAGUUGUGCUACUUAUUUUAUUUAUUUUUAUGUGUUGAGUGUGUUUCAUUUGCAGUGCUAGACCAUGGCUAUGAGUGCUUUGUGCAAAGUGAAUCAUAACAAGGAAGAGCUCUUAUCUGAAUAAAAUAGCCACUAGAGCUCUUAUCUGACCAAUGGGCAGCCACGGGCCUUGCCUCGACUACUGAAGGUUUCCUUGUGCCGUUAAUGUGCAGUCUGGCAUGGCCUUAUGGGCAGGGCCCUGUACUGGGGGUGUCACAGGGACUUUGGGCUUAGGGCUGCCAUCUGUGUAUCUCUCCUGUUACCUCAGUUGAACCAGAUGCAGUCAGAACUCCAAUCUAUGCAGACGUCAGAACUAAUAAUGCCACUUUGAAUCCAGUCAUGAGUCAAGGGCACCAAUCAAAAAGUGUUUAGAUGUAUUAAAGCAGCAUGAGUACCAAUCAGAAUGGUCUAUUCAGACCAUACACCAAUCAGAUUCCGUUGUUAUAAUGUGUUUCUCAGAAUGAUAUGCACCUAUGCACCUCCUCCUCCCCUGUUGCAGGGAUACUUCUAAUGGUGCUUUAGAUCACUGGUUCUCACAGAACAUGGUGUCCAACCAGAGAAACAGCUGAGAGACAUGGACAUUGUACAUCCAUGUCAUACAAUAGGGAGUUGAUCCCAAAACCUGGUGUGCUUAUAUACGGUAGAAUACUGUGUUGUACAUAGAAUCAGCUGGAGAGACUCUGAGGAAAUGGUGCAAGGAGGCUAUAGAUUUUAUAUGUUU